GAUGAAGAACGUAGCGAAAUGCGAUACUUGGUGUGAAUUGCAGAAUCCCGCGAAUCAUCGAGUUUUUGAACGCAAGUUGCGCCCGAAGCCAUUCGGCCGAGGGCACGUCUGCCUGGGUGUCACGCAUCGUUGCCCCCCCAAACUCCGGUUCGGGCGGGGCGGAAGUUGGCCUCCCGUGCGUGCCUGCGCGCGCGGUUAGCCCAAAAGCGAGUCCUCGGCGACGAGCGCCACGACAAUCGGUGGUUUUUUUACCCUCGUUCCUCGUCGUGCGUGCCCGUCGCCCGAACGCGCUCUUGCGACCCUCACGCGUCGCCUCGGCGGCGCUCCCAACGCGACCCCAGGUCAGGCGGGACUACCCGCUGAGUUUAAGCAUAUCAAUAAGCGGAGGA
rnacentral:misc_RNA from 1 species